rnacentral:rRNA from 1 species
UACGUAGGGGGCAAGCGUUGUCCGGAAUCAUUGGGCGUAAAGAGCGUGUAGGCGGCCAGAAAAGUCCGCUGUGAAAACUCGAGGCUCAACUUCGAGCUGUCGGUGGAAACUUUCUGGCUAGAGUCCGGAAGAGGAGAAUGGAAUUCCUGGUGUAGCGGUGAAAUGCGCAGAUAUCAGGAAGAACACCCGUGGCGAAGGCGGUUCUCUGGGACGGUACUGACGCUGAGGAGCGAAAGCAUGGGGAGCAAACAGG